GGAUGAACGCUGGCGGCGUGCCUAAUACAUGCAAGUCGAGCGAACAGAUAAGGAGCUCGCUCCUUUGACGUUAGCGGCGGACGGGUGAGUUACACGUGGAUAACCUACCUAUAAGACUGGGAUAACUUCGGGAAACCGGAGCUAAUACCGGAUAACAUAUUGAACCGCAUGGUUCAAUAGUGAAAGGCGGCUUUGCUGUCACUUAUAGAUGGAUCCGCGCCGUAUUAGCUAGUUGGUAAGGUAACGGCUUACCAAGGCAACGAUACGUAGCCGACCUGAGAGGGUGAGCGGCCACACUGGAACUGAGACACGGUCCAGGCUCCUACGGGAGGCAGCAGUAGGGAAUCUUCCGCAAUGGGCGAAAGCCUGACGGAGCAACGCCGCGUGAGUGAUGAAGGUCUUCGGAUCGUAAAACUCUGUUAUCAGGGAAGAACAAAUGUGUAAGUAACUGUGCACAUCUUGACGGUACCUGAUCAGAAAGCCACGGCUAACUACGUG
rnacentral:rRNA from 1 species